CCUACGGGCGGCAGCAGUGGGGAAUAUUGGACAAUGGGGGGAACCCUGAUCCAGCCAUGCCGCGUGUGUGAAGAAGGCCCUCGGGUUGUAAAGCACUUUCAGUGAGGAAGAACGCCUGGUGGUUAAUACCCAUCAGGAAAGACAUCACUCACAGAAGAAGCACCGGCUAACUCCGUGCCAGCAGCCGCGGUAAUACGGAGGGUGCGAGCGUUAAUCGGAAUUACUGGGCGUAAAGCGCGCGUAGGUGGCUUGAUAAGCCGGUUGUGAAAGCCCCGGGCUCAACCUGGGAACGGCAUCCGGAACUGUCAAGCUAGAGUGCAGGAGAGGAAGGUAGAAUUCCCGGUGUAGCGGUGAAAUGCGUAGAGAUCGGGAGGAAUAUCAGUGGCGAAGGCGGCCUUCUGGACUGACACUGACACUGAGGUGCGAAAGCGUGGGUAGCAAACAGGAUUAGAUACCCCAGUAGUC
rnacentral:rRNA from 1 species